AGUGAACGCUGGCGGUAGGCCUAACACAUGCAAGUCGAACGGCAGCACAGUAAGAGCUUGCUCUUACGGGUGGCGAGUGGCGGACGGGUGAGGAAUACAUCGGAAUCUACUUUUUCGGGGGGGAUAACGUAGGGAAACUUACGCUAAUACCGCAUACGACCUACGGGUGAAAGCAGGGGAGCUUCGGACCUUGCGCGAUUGAAUGAGCCGAUGUCGGAUUAGCUAGUUGGCGGGGUAAAGGCCCACCAAGGCGACGAUCCGUAGCUGGUCUGAGAGGAUGAUCAGCCACACUGGAACUGAGACACGGUCCAGACUCCUACGGGAGGCAGCAGUGGGGAAUCUUGGACAAUGGGCGCAAGCCUGAUCCAGCCAUACCGCGUGGGUGAAGAAGGCCUUCGGGUUGUAAAGCCCUUUUGUUGGGAAAGAACAGCAGCAGGUUAAUCCCCCGCUGUUCUGACGGUACCCAAAGAAUAAGCACCGGCUAACUUCGUG
rnacentral:rRNA from 1 species